rnacentral:rRNA from 1 species
CGGUCCCUAUCUGCCGUGGGCGCUGGAGAACUGAGGGGGGCUGCUCCUAGUACGAGAGGACCGGAGUGGACGCAUCACUGGUGUUCGGGUUGUCAUGCCAAUGGCACUGCCCGGUAGCUAAAUGCGGAAGAGAUAAGUGCUGAAAGCAUCUAAGCACGAAACUUGCCCCGAGAUGAGUUCUCCCUGAGACUUAAAGUCUCCUGAAGGAACGUUGAAGACGACGACGUUGAUAGGCCGGGUGUGUAAGCGCAGCGAUGCGUUGAGCUAACCGGUACUAAUGAACCGUGAGGCUUAACCUUACAACGCCGAAG